UCAGCUUUCUUUGACAAACACAGAAGAAGUUAUAAAUCAGAAACAUGGACUCUCCAUGAUUUCAGUCGUCAUGUCCUCAUAUUUCUUUAGACCUGAAAAACCGGAGUGUGUUUCAGGUGAUAUGAUUUUUGUCUGGACUUAACUCUGGAGAGCCUGUGUUCGAAUGUCCCCAUAUUGCUGUUACACAGAGCUGAACAGUGUUAACUUUCUAUAGUGUCUUAUAUUAAUCCCAAACCCUCCUGUGAGCGAUGUUCAAUGAAUAACAAUGUUUAUUCAUUUAUUAACUAAUCAGGAUGAAUAAAUUUGAAUAUUUCUGACACUGCACUGUGGCUAUGUUGCAGACACCAAGUGUUCCGAUCCUGAUGAAACCUUUUGAAGAUCAAGAAAGGAGUGGAAGAUCCACUUCUUCCUUACAACAGACACCAAGUGACCUGACUGAACCCUCUGGAGACCAUGAAUGGAAUGAGAGAUAAAUUCUCAAAAUUCUCAAAUUUUCAAAAUUCUCAUUAUUUCCUGGAAUAUCUUAUUUUGAUUAUUUUAUUUUUCCAUUUUUAAUAAAUAAUGCCUUCUUUUACAGGUGGGAAUAAGAGACGCACGUGGACAGAUUAUGAAGUGAAGGCUGUUGAGCGACAUAUGUUUGAUUUCAUAACAAGCCAUAAAGUUUCAGGUAAAACGA